rnacentral:pre_miRNA from 1 species
ACGCAAUCUCUUGGUGCUUAUUCGCAAUCAUGGCUGUGGAUCGGAUGCCUGGAACACUAAAACGAAGAGAUCACGGCCAUGAUUGCUAAUGAACUACAUGGUUGAGU